AAAAUGUUUGCCUGUUUCAGAAGGCCAUUCAGAACAUGGGGGCAGCCACAUUAAUUCAAUCUGAAAGGAUUGCAAUGUCUGCACGAGGCUGAUGACACUGAGACAGAGUUCUUGGCUGGAUAUUUUGGAGCAGGCACAUGUGCCCUUUAUGUAUCAAGCAGGAAGUUUAUUUUGGGUGUUUGGGGGUAGCAUGAGGACAAGGAUGGUGAUUACAUGUUAUCUCCAUAAUUUGCAUGAUGCUGGUCUGUUGCAUAUUGGGAUUGUGCAGCAUUUAGGAUAACUCUUUGGGAUAUGCCCACUGCACAUAAAGUGGCUGAAGGCAACAGGUCUCUCUGCAGACGGUCUUUGUUUGUAUAGACCAGGGCCUGCCUGCUCAGACCUGCCAUUAUCUCUGGUCCUUUUGGGAAGUGUGGGGUGUUGGUUGGUGCUUCGCAUGACUCUGCUGUCUCGUUCAGGGAAGUAUUUAAUUUGUUUUUGUUUUUUUUUUUAUUUGUUCGCUAACUCUCUAUUAGUGGUUUAUAUUUGUAGUAUAUUUGUUUUGAUUUUUUUUUUAUCCCUGUUUCCC